rnacentral:lncRNA from 1 species
GAUGUCAAGCUUAAGACAUGGACAGAAUCGUGUCAGGUAAAUGGGAACAGAAGGACAGAGGCAGGGUCCUUGUACCAGAUGAAGUAGGACCCGACCCUAAACCCCAGAGCAGGACCAGAGGAGCACUGUCUAACCCUGAGAGCUGAGUUCACAGUCAAGAUGUGACACUCAUGAAAAUCUAUGUACCAAUAACACAGAAGUCCCAGGUAUGAAACAGAAUCUCAGGAAAUGCACCGUGACACAUACGGAAAGAGCGAUUGUAAUACCCCUAAAGGAGAGUUUUGUACAGCGUUCUCAAUAAAAGAUGGAUACAAGGCGGAGAGAGCGCACUCAGUAGGGCAUCCCUCCCAAACAAGCACCCCAGUGCCUGGACACCAGGGGACACACCAUCGUGACAGUCACGGACACUGGUUGUAUGUUUGACAGCCUGCGUGAGUUUCAUCAAGUAGAAUCGCCAUUAAAAGCCCUUUCUGAUAACAGCACAGCACAACUGGAAGUUAGGAAGCCUGCACCCUGGAGCUGGGAGACGAUCCUGUUGGGAACCAAACUAAGAUGGCAGAAUUUCUGGAAAACAGCGAUAGUGCUGUAAGUGAGAGCUGUGGACGGUGUUGGGAGAGGAACAGUGAGGAAACCGCGGCUGGAGGAGCUGAGCUGUGGCCCAGCCAGGCCACGACGUGGGGUGGGGUCAGGAGCACCUGGCCGAGUCCAGGCUCACGCGGGAGCUGCACCAGCCGCUGUGCUCUGCCGACAGGAGACGAAACAUGGAGGCGCCCCCAGAGCUGAAGGCCCCCCUCCUUGUUUGGGUGAGUCUUCACUCACCAGAGGGAAGGAGAGGGAAGACCCCAACCUUCGACCUCACUCCCCGCAGGAGACGGUGGAGUGUGACGGAAUGUCACCAGGUCUCAGUGCCAGGGGCUUUGCUUGUGUGGGACAAAUCACUGUUUCUCCAAGUCCCAGUUUUCUCAUUACUGUGGGCAUUGCGAUGCUUAAUGAGCUGUCAGUAGGAGACAGGUGGCCCACCCUCUUUCCCCCAGAGUCUUCCCUGCAGAGGGGCCGGCACCGAAGCCUUCAGCUCGCCUCUCCCACCUACUCUCCCCUCCCUCUGAC